GACGAACGCUGGCGGCGUGCUUAACACAUGCAAGUCGAACGGAAAGGCCCUGCUUUUGUGGGGUGCUCGAGUGGCGAACGGGUGAGUAACACGUGAGUAACCUGCCCUUGACUUUGGGAUAACUUCAGGAAACUGGGGCUAAUACCGGAUAGGAGCUCCUGCUGCAUGGUGGGGGUUGGAAAGUUUCGGCGGUUGGGGAUGGACUCGCGGCUUAUCAGCUUGUUGGUGGGGUAGUGGCUUACCAAGGCUUUGACGGGUAGCCGGCAUGAGAGGGUGACCGGCCACAAGGGGACUGAGAUACGGCCCAGACUCCUACGGGAGGCAGCAGUGGGGAAUAUUGCACAAUGGGCGGAAGCCUGAUGCAGCAACGCCGCGUGCGGGAUGACGGCCUUCGGGUUGUAAACCGCUUUCGCCUGUGACGAAGCGUGAGUGACGGUAAUGGGUAAAGAAGCACCGGCUAACUACGUG
rnacentral:rRNA from 1 species